rnacentral:sRNA from 1 species
AAAAUUUCCCAUUAUAUAUCUCAGUAAGAAGUCUGUUUUCGUUUCUGUAAUUUUUUACAAGUGAAAAAUGAAGAUUUCUUGGAUAUUUUCCCUUUCAUCGAUUUCAGUCGUACGUACUUCUUUCACAGGUAUACUGUUAAACUCCAAGAGCCACCCUGGUGAAUUCCUCUCUUCUAUACUAACACAGUGUGUCCCCUACAUCGACAUUUCUCUCAGACUCCAUAAAUCGAUUUCACUUUUUCCUGUCAGCAGCCCUUUGGUAGAUCAAACAGUCAGUGCUUUGCGUGGGUAAUACGUGUUCAUCCAAUAGAAAUACAAGAACAAGAGGCAAAAACGUGAAAUCAUGGAGUAGUAUAAUGUCAACUCCAACUCACAUCAUUUGUGAAUUUUAUAUCAACAUCCGGUGGUUUUAUAACGAGAAUUAAAGUAUCAAGCACAAACAUUACACAAAUUGACGUCUGGUCAGACAUCGGCUUCUUUUGGAACUGAUGCUUAUGUUUGGCGAAACAUGGAUAGAUUAAGUGGCGCUACGGCUGGUUUGUGAUUUAUUUUGGAUUAUUUAUAAAAAUUUUAUCAAAAGUGCAAUAAAGGCUGGGCUUUUGUCUUGAGUAGGAUUUAAAUUUAGUGAGAUAAUUGAUAUCAAAAUGAUAAUAGCCAUUCCUGGACCGGGUCAUCGCCUCUUUGACAGCAUGCACUGGUUUAACAUGGGGCUAACGUCUUGACCCGUCAAGUUCAUUCCUUUUGAGUUUAUGGUCCUAUAAAAAGGAUAUAAUGGGUUCAUAUCAGUUUGAAGGUCGAAGCCAAUUUAGGUUCAAAUCUAAAGAAGUUUGCACAAUUUUAAUUCUCAAGAUUUUUUUUGUGUGUGUUUUUUAUUUGUUUGGUUUUUGUUUUGUUUUGUUUUUUUGGUCAGCUAGGAAGACCUAUGUGCUAUUAGGGUUUUGCUGUGAAUAUAUGCUUAGAAAUAAUAUCGAACACUAUUCAUUCUUUAAUGCAAUUUCCAAACGUUUAAAUUUCCGGAACUUAAAAAAUGCAAGAUAUUUCAAAAACCAUUUGCAAUACGCUGAACUAGGUGUUACUACAACAAUUACUUGUGCAUAAUUUUUAUUAUGUAAAUUACUUGACCUUUUAUUUAAAUAAAAGCAAUUAACAUUAAUU